rnacentral:tRNA from 1 species
UAUAGCUCAGUUGGUAGAGUGCUUGCCGCACAUGCAUGAGGUCUGGGUUCAAUCCCCAGUA